AUGGCGCCGCCGGCCGUCGUGGGUUUCUCCGAUCUGCCGACGGAGGCGCUGGACGAGAUCGCCCGGCGCUCCGGGCCCCUCGACAACGUGCUCUGCUCCGCCGUCUGCAGGUCCUGGCGCCGCGCCCUCAGGACCGCGCGCCUCGGCCGCCUCCAAGAGCCGAACCGCCCGCACAGCAUAUUCCUGCAUACCGAGGCGCGCGAGGUCGUCUUGGAGGUCAGCUUCAUCUAUCGCCGCGAUUACUACGAGGACCCGCCCUUUGGACGAGUACGGGUACGAACCGUGGUGGACGGCAAGAUCGCCAACUACCCGUCCAUCAAGAUCAUAGGGGCCUCCUACGGCUGGAUCGUGGUCGUCUACAAGCACGACGACGGGAGCGUCAUCUACCUCGUCGACCCCUUCACCGGCCGGCGGUUCCCGCUGCCUCGCUUCACCGACUUGUCACGCAGCUGGAGGCAGGAGGAGGAGCUCCGGACGGGGCUUCUCUUCAAGCACAGGGGCAUGUUCCACAAGGCGGCGCUCGCUCCCGGGCGCCGGCUGGGCACCUACGCCGUCAUGCUCAUCCACAGCGACGGGCGCGGCCUCUCAUUCCUGCGGCCCGGGGACAGGUCCUGGAGGGCGGUGCGCUCCCCGAGGGCCAUGCCGCACAGGUACGUCGACGUCGUCUUCCACAAGGGCGCGUUCUGCACGCUCAGCUCCUUUGGCGAGGUGAACGCCUGGGCGCCCGACGGCGGGGGCGGCCUGCGGACGAGGCGGCUCACGGACCAGCGACCGGAGCAGCUGGAGUGGGCCGUCCUCGCCGAGUCCGAAUCGCGCCACGACCUUCUCAUGGUGAGCACCAUGGAUAGGCCGCCGUGCUCUAAACGCCGGCAGCACUUCGAGGUGUCCCGCUGCGACGAGCGCCAGCGCAGGUGGCUCCCCGUGAAGGACAUUGGGGAGACGGCCAUCUUGGCCGGGAGCCAGAGCAGCUUGUGUCUCUCCACGCCAGGCUCCCCUCGACUCGCCGGUAGCAGCAACCACAUCUACUUUGCUUCGGACUGUGCGACGAGCAACAUGAAGUGUGAUUAUGGAAACCCUGACUACUACCGGCUGCCGAUUGCGGCCGAGAGCUUGGCGGGUAGGGAGAUAUCCGGGUGGACUUGGUUUCUACCUUACGUUGCACGAUUAGAUUAUGGAGCUUCUCCUUCUUGA
rnacentral:rRNA from 1 species